rnacentral:rRNA from 1 species
AGCGAACGCUGGCGGCAGGCCUAACACAUGCAAGUCGAACGGACCUUUCGGGGUUAGUGGCGGACGGGUGAGUAACACGUGGGAACGUGCCUUUAGGUUCGGAAUAGCUCCUGGAAACGGGUGGUAAUGCCGAAUGUGCCCUUCGGGGGAAAGAUUUAUCGCCUUCAGAGCGGCCCGCGUCUGAUUAGCUAGUUGGUUGAGGUAACGGCUCACCAAGGCGACGAUCAGUAGCUGGUCUGAGAGGAUGGCCAGCCACAUUGGGACUGAGACACGGCCCAAACUCCUACGGGAGGCAGCAGUGGGGAAUCUUGCGCAAUGGGCGAAAGCCUGACGCAGCCAUGCCGCGUGAAUGAUGAAGGUCUUAGGAUUGUAAAAUUCUUUCACCGGGGACGAUAAUGACGGUACCCGGAGAAGAAGCCCCGGCUAACUUCGUGCCAGCCGCCGCAGUAAGAC